rnacentral:rRNA from 1 species
UACAGAGGGUGCGAGCGUUGUCCGGAAUCACUGGGCGUAAAGGGCGCGUAGGUGGUGGCUUAAGCGUGCGGUGAAAGCUCGGAGCUCAACUCCGAGUCGGCCGUGCGAACUGGGCUCACUGGAGCAUAGUAGAGGCAGGUGGAAUUCCGGGUGUAGCGGUGGAAUGCGUAGAGAUGUGGAGGAACACCAGUGGCGAAGGCGGCUUUCUGGUCUGUAACUGACGCUGAGGCGCGAAAGCGUGGGGAGCAAACAGG